rnacentral:rRNA from 1 species
ACACCGGCAGCUCUAGUGGUAGCAAUUUUUAUUGGGCCUAAAGCGUCCGUAGCCGGUUUAAUAAGUCUCUGGUGAAAUCCUGUAGCUUAACUGUGGGAAUUGCUGGAGAUACUAUUAGACUUGAGACCGGGAGAGGUUAGAGGUACUCCCAGGGUAGAGGUGAACUUCUGUAAUCCUGGGAGGACCGCCUGUUGCGAACGCUUCUACCUGGAACGGUUCCGACGGUGAGGGACGAAAGUUAGAGACGCGAACCGGAGUAGAUUCCCGGGUAGUCCUAACUGUAAACGAGGCGGACUUGGUGUUGGGGUGUCUUUGAGCUUCACCAGUGCCGAAGGUAAGCUGAUAAGGCACCCGCCUGGGAAGUAGGAUCGCAAGACUGAAACUGAAAGGAAUUGACGUGG